GAUGAAGAACGCAGCGAAAUGCGAUAAGUAAUGUGAAUUGCAGAAUUCAGUGAAUCAUCGAAUCUUUGAACGCACAUUGCGCCCGCUAGUAUUCUGGCGGGCACGCCUGUCCGAGCGUCAUUUCAACCCUCAAGCCCCCGGGCUUGGUGUUGGGGAUCGGCGAGCCUCCGCGCCCGCCGUCCCCUAAAUCUAGUGGCGGUCUCGCUGUAGCUUCCUCUGCGUAGUAGCACACCUCGCACUGGGAAACAGCGCGGCCACGCCGUUAAACCCCCAACUUCUGAACGUUUGACCUCGGAUCAGGUAGGAAUACCCGCUGAACUUAAGCAUAUCAAUAAGCGGAGGA
rnacentral:misc_RNA from 1 species